ACCGCCAGCUGUGCUCAGUGUUGUUGGGAAAUAUUAGGAUGGCCUACCGAGCAAGUAAGUCACUCCAACAGCGAUGCUAAAUUCCUACGCUUUUUCCUGUAUUGAUGUCAGAGAGCGACAUCCAAGCAAUCGUUCCUGAGGCAACCCGGUACAUGAUUAAGAAGUCCCAGAAGUUGGUCGCGGUAAAAGAUGUGUGGGCAUUGCCUGACCCGUACGAGCGCUGUGCUCAGAAGGAAGAUGAUUUGGCGAGAGCAACGAGCUUUUAUACGGUGGAUGAACUGGACUGCACAGUUCAGAGCCCAAGAUCAAGAGAUGUCGUGCACGUUAAAGGAGGAGGCCAGAAGCUCACAAAAGCUAAGAGACAUUUUUCCACCUCACCGAAGUCGCCUUUGUCGAUGGCGUCACGCAUCGCUUUCCGAAUCGUCGCCGUCUCGGGGGACGUCUCCAUGUUGAAGCUAGAAUCGGACGAUCCUCCAGCUUCAUCCGCCGUUGUCUCGAGUAAUGGUGGAUCCUGCAAGCACAUGACAGAAGGUAUAUUUCUGGAAAAUAAAUCAAUGAAAAUCAAUCCAUGCUAUCCAUCUGACAAAAUGGUUAGUCCCGUCCUCAGAUGUUCGACAUGAACUUUCUGCUUGUAUUUUCAAAAACCACUAGCAGUAAUAAAUGAUGGUCCGUCGUUCAA